rnacentral:rRNA from 1 species
GAUGAACGCUGGCGGCGUGCUUAACACAUGCAAGUCGAACGGAAAGGCCUCAGCUUGCUGGGGUACUCGAGUGGCGAACGGGUGAGUAACACGAGGGUGAUCUGCCCUGCACUUUGGGAUAAGCUUGGGAAACUGGGUCUAAUACCGAAUAUGACCACUUCUUGGAUGUUGUGGUGGAAAGCUUUUGCGGUGUGGGAUGAGCCUGCGGACUAUCAGCUUGUUGGUGGGGUAAUGGCCUACCAAGGCGGCGACGGGUAUCCGGCCUGAGAGGGUGUACGGACACAUUGGGACUGAGAUACGGCCCAGACUCCUACGGGAGGCAGCAGUGGGGAAUAUUGCACAAUGGGCGCAAGCCUGAUGCAGCGACGCCGCGUGGGGGAUGAAGGCCUUCGGGUUGUAAACUCCUUUCGCUAUCGACGAAGCCACUUGUGGUGACGGUAGGUAGAUAAGAAGCACCGGCUAACUACGUGCCAGCCGCCGCCGUAA